rnacentral:rRNA from 1 species
UACGAAGGGGGCUAGCGUUGCUCGGAAUCACUGGGCGUAAAGCGCACGUAGGCGGAUUGUUAAGUCAGGGGUGAAAUCCUGGAGCUCAACUCCAGAACUGCCUUUGAUACUGGCGAUCUUGAGUCCGGGAGAGGUGAGUGGAAUCCCAGUGUAGAGGUGAAAUUCGUAGAUAUUGGGAAGAACACCGGUGGCGAAGGCGGCUACACGUCG